UUUAAACUUUCAACAAACAAAGUAAAAAGAUUUGUGCCGAUUUGGAAGUUAGAACCCUAACUCCUCCAUCUUCUUUCCGCCCCAAACUUUGGCGCGACGGAAAGAGAAACAGGGAGACCAGUCUGAGUUGCCAGACGCUGAGCCGCCAGCUCUGCAUUCAAGAGCGAGGGUUUUGGACAGCGAAGAGUUGCGUCACCGUCUCCAUCAAUGGCGAAGAGGAAGGAGAGACAGGUGAACCCGGAACCCUUUGAUCCUGACGGUAAUGAGUCCAUCCAGUCCAAGUCUCGCUCCAAAGCUGCCAAACAUCACCAAAAGGGAGAGAAGCUUAUCUCUUCCCGUAUUAGUUCUAAAAUUAUGAAGGAGGCUAUGCUUCAGCAGAAGGAGAUUCAGGAGGAAGCUGAAGCUUUCCAAGGGAACGCCAACAGCGCCUUCUUUCAAGUUGAGGAGCCGCCCAAUGUUGAGGAUGAUGAUGAUGAUGAUAUUGAUGAAUUUGCUGGGUUCUCCGAGACCCAGAGUCAAUUUGGUGGAUAUGAUGAAGAGAUUAAUGAGGAGGACGAGAGAGUAAUGGAGGCAUUCUUAUUGAAAGACCAGGGUAGGCAGCGAACACUUGCUGAUCUCAUUGUUGAAAGAAUAAAGGAAAAGGACGCAGCUGUUGCUUCUGAAGUGCGACCGGUGCCAAAGUUGGAUAAGUCCAUACUAGACAUAUACAAGGGGGUUGGGAUACAUCUUAGCAAAUAUACAGCAGGAAAAAUACCCAAGCCCUUCAAACACAUCCCUGCCAUGAAGCAUUGGGAGGAGAUUUUAUAUGUAACUCAACCUGAGAAUUGGUCACCAAAUGCAAUUUACCAAGCAACUAGAAUAUUUUCUUCUAAUUUGGGUGUAAAAAAGGCAGAACGCUUCUACAAGCUUGUACUGCUUCCAAGAGUGAGAGAGGAUAUAAGAAAGAACAAGAGACUGCAUUUUGCUUUAUAUCAAUCGCUGAAAAAGUCACUUUACAAACCUGCUGCAUUCUUUAAGGGAAUAUUGUUUCCAUUAUGUGAGUCACGUACAUGCACCCUCAGAGAAGCAGUCGUUAUUGGAAGCAUUAUACAAAAGGUUUCCAUUCCUCCACUUCAUUCAAGUGUGGCGCUGUUGAAACUUGCAGAGAUGGAAUAUUGUGGAACAACAAGCUAUUUCAUAAAGCUUCUCGUGGAGAAAAAAUAUGCUUUGCCAUAUCGCGUGGUCGAUGCUGUUGUUUCUCAUUUUACGAGAUUUGUUGAGGAAACUAGGAUAAUGCCUGUUAUAUGGCACCAAUCACUUCUUGCAUUUGUGCAGAGGUACAAAAAUGAACUUCGGAAGGAAGAGAAGGAUAAUUUAAGGGAUCUACUUGAUAAGCAAAAGCAUAGAUUAGUUACCCCUGAAAUUAUCCGGGAGCUAAACCACAGCCGUAACAGAGGCGAGAAGGAGGAUGAUCUUAUGUCAAUAUAUAUCCUUUCCUUAGUUUCUUUCCAACCACAUAAUUCACCUCCCCCCUCCCCACACUGAUAAAAAAGAAACGAAGGGAAGUCCCUGCUACAAUUAAAAGAAAAUUUUGUCAGCUAUGAAGCUGCAUGUUGAGACUAGGAUUAUUUAAAGAAAAUACAACCGGACCUUUCUUUUCAGUACAGAAGGAAUGACUUGCUAUUGGGUUGUCAUACCCUGUUAAUGGAGAUCAUAAAGAGCUAUCGGCUGAGCAACCGAGAAGGAUUUUAUCCAAUGUUCGGUUGUACGGAUUGAAAUAAAAGCAUUGUACGGCUUUCUUGGAAUCAAAGGCUAGGCUUCUGUUGCAGCCAUUUUAAUGGUUUUGCCCUAUGAGGAUUAUCUUUGGAGAUGGGCAGUCCAUUGCAGUUUCGCUGAGGCAGUUAAAUAGCAGUGCCUAGCAGUCUGAAAUUUUGCUUUGUGGAAUUGAAAUUUUGCUCGAAAGUCUUCUGAGAAAUGAUGGGACACCAUCUUUCUGAUGUAAUCAUUUUUCUGUCGGUGGGUAUUUGAUUGACGCCUCCGAAGGCUAUAGUUUUUGGAAUAGAACUGCGUUGCUCUAGAUCAUUAGAAGCAUAGCCAAGGCAAGACAUUUAAUUUAAGCAUAAAGCGGAUCGGUUAUAAAAAAUUAUAUCAUCAUGUUUUUUGAAUUAUUAUAAAAUUUUAUUACAUUCUGAUC